rnacentral:rRNA from 1 species
AUUGAACGCUGGCGGCAGGCCUAACACAUGCAAGUCGAACGAGUGGCGGACGGGUGAGUAAUGUCCGGGAAACUUCCUGCUGGCGGGGGAUAACUCCUGGAAAAGGUAGCUAAAACCCCAUACCCUCUUGUGUGUCCCGAUGGGAUUAGCUAGUAGGUGGGGGAAAGGCUCACCUAGGCGACCAUCCCUAGCUGGUCUGAGAGGAUGACCAGCCACACUGGAACUGAGACACGGUCCAGACUCCUACGGGAGGCAGCAGUGGGGAAUAUUGCACAAUGGGCGCAAGCCUGAUGCAGCCAUGCCGCGUGUAUGAAGAAGGCCUUCGGGUUGUAAAGUACUUUCAGCGAGGAGGCGUUACCCGCAGAAGAAGCACCGGCUAACUCCGUGCCAGCAGCCGCGGUAAUUC